GGUAAUGCCGGAUGUUCCAGUUGAUCGCAUGGUCUUCUGGGAAAGCUUUCGCGGUAUGGGAUGGGGUCGCGUCCUAUCAGCUUGACGGCGGGGUAACGGCCCACCGUGGCUUCGACGGGUAGCCGGCCUGAGAGGGCGACCGGCCACAUUGGGACUGAGAUACGGCCCAGACUCCUACGGGAGGCAGCAGUGGGGAAUAUUGCACAAUGGGCGCAAGCCUGAUGCAGCGACGCCGCGUGAGGGAUGGAGGCCUUCGGGUUGUAAACCUCUUUUAUCGGGGAGCAAGCGUGAGUGAGUUUACCCGUUGAAUAAGCACCGGCUAACUACGUGCCAGCAGCCGCGGUAAUACGUAGGGUGCAAGCGUUAUCCGGAAUUAUUGGGCGUAAAGGGCUCGUAGGCGGUUCGUCGCGUCCGGUGUGAAAGUCCAUCGCUUAACGGUGGAUCCGCGCCGGGUACGGGCGGGCUUGAGUGCGGUAGGGGAGACUGGAAUUCCCGGUGUAACGGUGGAAUGUGUAGAUAUC
rnacentral:rRNA from 1 species